rnacentral:rRNA from 1 species
UACGUAGGGGGCAAGCGUUGUCCGGAUUUAUUGGGCGUAAAGAGCGUGUAGGCGGCCAGAUAGGUCCGUUGUGAAAACUCGAGGCUCAACCUCGAGACGCCGAUGGAAACCAUCUGGCUAGAGUCCGGAAGAGGAGAGUGGAAUUCCUGGUGUAGCGGUGAAAUGCGCAGAUAUCAGGAGGAACACCGGUGGCGAAGGCGGGACUCUGGGCCGAUACUGACGCUGAGGAGCGAAAGCGUGGGGAGCAAACAGG